AUUGCACGCUGGCGGCAGGCCUAACACAUGCAAGUCGAACGAGUGGCGGACGGGUGAGUAAUGUCUGGGCAACUGCCUGAUGGAGGGGGAUAACUACUGGACACGGUAGCUAAUACCGCAUACCAUCGGAUGUGCCCAGAUGGGAUUAGCUUGUUGGUGGGGUAACGGCUCACCUAGGCGACGAUCCCUAGCUGGUCUGAGAGGAUGACCAGCCACACUGGAACUGAGAAACGGUCCAGACUCCUACGGGAGGCAGCAGUGGGGAAGAUUGCACAAUGGGCGCAAGCCUGAUGCAGCCAUGCCGCGUGUAUGAAGAAGGCCUUCGGGUUGUAAAGUACUUUCAGCGAGGAGGCGUUACCCGCAGAAGAAGCACCGGCUAACUCCGUGCCAGCAGCCGCGGUAAUAC
rnacentral:rRNA from 1 species